GCAAGGUUCACAUACUCCUUCUGGUAAUUAUUGCUUCGAUUUUGACCUUUAAGCGGUGCUAAUCUUAUCCCUUCUAUGAUUCUUUUAAAUGGAAUUUGCUUUAAUUUGAUGGAAUUAUUUUGUUAUUUCUUCAGAUGUAAGGUUUUCAAUGGCUUUACUGUUGCUGAACUGUGAGCUAGUUUUUUUCCUUUAUUUAUUUAUUUUUAGCGGGGUUGGGGGCUUAGGUUGGAUACUUAUUGCAUUUAUUUUUCACUUGAGCAAAACUCUAACGAGCUUGUUUAAAUGAUAACUUUCUCUUUUAAUUUUGUUGGUCUUAGUUUUUACUAAAUAUAGCUUGUUUACUUUACUUGAUACUUCGUAUUAGAAGUCAAAGAGCUGCUGGUUGUGCGUUUGGGUUAUUAUGUGAAGGUUGAAAUUCUUAUUCAGAUGGCUGCAUCUGCCCUUAGAUCAAUGGAUUCUUCAAGUUCGCGUUCGGUAUAAAUUGGUAGAUCUAUACACUCUUUUUAUUAUGAGAUUGAUUAGGGUUUGAGAGUUAUACUUAAUAAAUUAUACUUAAUGUAAGGACUUGAUGUUUAUGGUUACUCCUAUAUUCCAAUUUUUUAUAAUUUGUAUUUCAUUUAACCCAUUAGUAAGCAAUCCCCUUAGGAAGAAAUGUUAAUUUCAGUGAUCACUUUUCCUCUCAACUUACCCCACCCCCUACAAAAGAAAAAGACAAAAAAUCUCUAUGCUAAGAGCACUGCCUUUUUUUUCUGCUAAAAUAAAAAACCUUUUUUAAGUUAAGGUUCAACAGAUCAAAUCACAUCCAACAUACUUGGGCAAAUGCAUAUUACUGCAUGCGCAAGUAUGUUGUUUGGGUUAGUCCGAAUAAUACAUAAAGAAAUUUUAAGCCUGUUGGAAAGAUUAAUGGAGGUUUCAGUUACAGGCUUAAAUGGUAAAAGCUUGUUUGGUUAACUUGUAAGUAUUUGGUGGAUGGAAUGCAAAUAUUGAUUUUGGAAUCUUAUUUUUGUAUGUCUGAUACCUGAGCGUUGGUAAUGGUGGUCUUUUGAAAGGCUGCAGAUACUUUUGUCAACACUGAAAAUUUUCAUUUAUUUUUCUCUUGCUUGCAUCAGGAGCCUCAAGAGUUUCCAGCAAA
rnacentral:misc_RNA from 1 species